rnacentral:misc_RNA from 1 species
AGUCGCUCAGGCCCCCAGCGAUCCAGCCAGAAAAGAAGAAGCACACCCUCUGCACCCCAAUAGAGGCGUACCCAUACACACACCCAACAUCAACCACGCACCACUAGAUCAACGCCAGUGCGCGCCUCUUUCUCCCACUCUGGCGUUCCAGAGUCGCACCGAUAAGUUUUUGUUCUCCUUUCCAAGUCUGUCGGAUUUCGCUUCUCGUUGCGCAAGGUCAGGAGUAUCGCCUUUGCGGUGCGAGCAUCCUUAUCUUCGGGUUGUUGCCUUCUCGCACUGGACCGCCUGCUCUACCCCGUUUUCUCACUCUUCACCUCCAGCGGCCACGUCAUAAAACCAGCCAUGGUACUUCUCGAGUGCAAGCGGCUUCCAAAGGAGGAGUACAGCAAGGACUAUGACGCCUUCAUCGCAAGCGUGCCAUCCACCACGAACAUCGGCGAAGCCACCGACGCCAUUCAGAAGAUGCAAAACACACGCGUCCGGCUCACGUGGAUGAUGGCGGCCGCGAAGCAGAUGAUCAAGGAUUGCAUGGUGGACGCGGAGAAGCAGCAUUACCUCACCGGGCCGAUCGGUGACACGGAGCGUUACCUUUCCCUAGAACGCACAGAAAGGCGUCAGUUGUGCGUACAGAGUGAGCUGGAUGCUCUCGUGGAGGCGUUCAAGGGGGGCGUGAUGAUUCUGUUCCCAGCCGAGUGCAGCGGCAGCGAUGCCUGCCAGCGCCUGGCUGCUAUUCUCGACAACGAUACAGUGUCAGAUGUAGAGAAGUCGAAGGCGCACCGCAUUCUCAGCAUGAUUGACGACGGGGCCACAAACGAAAACACCUUGUCUGGUCGGGCGGUGAUGUGGUGGAGUGCCAAGCCGCUCGCGCGCGACUCCGACUUUGUGAAGUACAUUGGAAAGAACGACAAGACGAAGAUUACAGUGAAGCUGGCCGCCGAGGGUAGCGCGGCACCGCCUCGUGAGCCGGCGGUCGAUGCCAAGGCCCAGGCGGAGCUGAUGCAGCACUUUUACCGAAAGCAGGAAGAGAUGAAGAAGCUGGUGGAGGACGAGGACAUUUCGUUUGGCAACAGUGCUUGGGCCAACCCUCAUGGUCUGAAGAACCAGCUGCAGGGCCUAGACUCCAUCCACUACAAGGGUGCCUUCUAGGGAUACUUCUUUACUGCCCUUGAGUGCGGAAGCCUUUCAAACAGCUAUAUCAGCUCGGCUUUGGCGACGUGAGCCGAUGCGUGUGCGUUUCUGUGCGGCUCCGGGUGCAUCACGAGGGUCAUCUACACGCUGUGUCCCCCCUCCUCUCCUUUUUUUGUACAUAUUUGGUGCGUGUCUUGUGGCGCGAGACACCUUAUGGCUGCGCUAUGGCGCCACCCGCCAUCAUUUCUUCUUCGACAGUCCCCCUUUCUAUUUAACUCAGAAGACCCCUCCACCCAGCCCUUUUCUCUUCUCAUCUCGUUGAUGUGUGGCUCCGAUAGACGUGGGCGGUGCCGACAACAUGAUUCACCAAACAAACCGCUGCGCUGGCCUUUCCAGGACCACUCCUUCCCACUUUUUUUUCCGUUUUGGUGACUCCUGAUCGACCAUUGGGCAACUCCUCUCUCCUCCAUGGUAGCCGGGCCGUCGCUCUGCCUCUCGCGCUACAGCAGAGGGAUCAUCGUGGUCGGUACUCAUCAGCGCAUGCAAAAG